rnacentral:rRNA from 1 species
UGGGAAUUUUGGACAAUGGGCGCAAGCCUGAUCCAGCCAUGCCGCGUGCGGGAAGAAGGCCUUCGGGUUGUAAACCGCUUUUGUCAGGGAAGAAAUCUUCUGAGUUAAUACCUCGGGAGGAUGACGGUACCUGAAGAAUAAGCACCGGCUAACUACGUGCCAGCAGCCGCGGUAAUACGUAGGGUGCAAGCGUUAAUCGGAAUUACUGGGCGUAAAGCGUGCGCAGGCGGUUUUGUAAGACAGAGGUGAAAUCCCCGGGCUCAACCUGGGAACUGCCUUUGUGACUGCAAGGCUUGAGUGCGGCAGAGGGGGAUGGAAUUCCGCGUGUAGCAGUGAAAUGCGUAGAUAUGCGGAGGAACACCGAUGGCGAAGGCAAUCCCCUGGGCCUGCACUGACGCUCAUGCACGAAAGCGUGGGGAGCAAACAGGAUUAGAUA